GGAUAAUAAUAUCAUGAUAUACUUUUAGAUUCAUUUGACACAUAAUAUAAGAAUAAAAUAAUCUAAAAUGUGUAAAAUUUUAUAAUUUUUCAAGAAAGAAAAAAAUAAAAAAUAAGAAUAAUAUAAAAUGAAUAUAAAAAAAUUUAGGUGUAUCAAAUAAUAUUUUUUAUUUCGUAUACCAGAUUUAUAUGUCUCAUUUGGAAAGACUUACCAAAUCUUAAACUGGUCGAACCAUCCACUUACCUGCCUCUACUUACCCCUACUUGUUCUUCAAUACUACUUCAAUCUUUUUUUCACACCAAAUAGUCAUUUACUUUAUUAUUUCAACUCCUCGUUCUUAUAAAAUUUUCCAUGCAUGGUUUAAGAUUUUCCAAACAAACCAAACCAUAAACCUAAAUAAAUCAUAAAAGAUUCUUUGACAGCGAAAACAUUUGUACAGCUAGACUGUCGUACCACCGACUCAUUAACAUGUUUCAUCAUUUCGGAUUACACUACAAGCCUUGCAAAUUAUAACUUUCCUCUAUUACACUCAAAACAACCUCCUCCUCCAUGGCCCCGCUGUUGUGUCAGGUACCUCGGUUACAUUUUCCUCAUAAGUUUCACUCACAGACUCAACAGUGUUCAAUAAACCAAAUAUAUCAGAAAAUGCUUACAAGCGCAGAUAAUGUACAUCCACUUUUAAGCUAUAAAAUAAUUCACACCCUUUACAGCAGGAAACAUAUGUGUUCUUAG
rnacentral:lncRNA from 1 species